rnacentral:tRNA from 1 species
GCCCUCAUAGCUCAGUGGUAGAGCAUCUGCUUGGUAAGAAGAAGGUCACGAGUUCAAGUCUCGUUGAGGGCU